rnacentral:tRNA from 1 species
GGCGGAUGUAGCCAAGUGGAUCAAGGCAGGGAUUGUGAAUCCACCUUGCGC